rnacentral:tRNA from 1 species
GCCCGGGUGGCGGAAUUGGCAGACGCGCUGCGUUCAGGUCGCAGUGGGCUUCGGCUCGUGCGAGUUCGAGUCUCGCCCCGGGCACCA